AAAUUGAAGAGUUUGAUCAUGGCUCAGAUUGAACGCUGGCGGCAGGCCUAACACAUGCAAGUCGGGCGGUAACACAGGGAGCUUGCUCCUGGGUGACGAGCGGCGGACGGGUGAGUAAUGUCUGGGAAACUGCCUGAUGGAGGGGGAUAACUACUGGAAACGGUAGCUAAUACCGCAUAACGUCUUCGGACCAAAGUGGGGGACCUUCGGGCCUCAUGCCAUCAGAUGUGCCCAGAUGGGAUUAGCUAGUAGGUGGGGUAAUGGCUCACCUAGGCGACGAUCCCUAGCUGGUCUGAGAGGAUGACCAGCCACACUGGAACUGAGACACGGUCCAGACUCCUACGGGAGGCAGCAGUGGGGAAUAUU
rnacentral:rRNA from 1 species